UAAGAGAAAAGGCCCUGUGGGAGUGAC
rnacentral:piRNA from 1 species